GCAUAUCAAUAAGCGGAGGAAAAGAAACCAACAGGGAUUGCCCUAGUAACGGCGAGUGAAGCGGCAACAGCUCGAAUUUGAAAUCUGGCUUCGGCCCGAGUUGUAAUCUGUAGAGGAUGCUUUGGGUGUAGGUGCCUUCCGAGUGCCCUGGAACGGGACGCCACAGAGGGUGAGAGCCCCGUAUGGUCGGUACCAAGCCUGUGUAAAGCUCCUUCGACGAGUCGGGUAGCUUGGGAAUGCUGCUCUAAGCGGGAGGUAAACUUCUUCUAAAGCUAAAUACUGGCCAGAGACCGAUAGCGCACAAGUAGAGUGAUCGAAAGAUGAAAAGCACUUUGAAAAGAGGGUCAAAUAGUACGUGAAAUUGUUGAAAGGGAAGCGCUCAUGACCAGACUUGCGCCGGGUUGAUCAUCCAGUGGUUUCCACUGGUGCACUCUGCCCGGCUCAGGCCAGCGUCGGCUGUUGCGGGGGGACAAAAGCUCUGGGAAAGUAGCUCUCUUCGGGGAGUGUUAUAGCCCUCUGCAGAAUACCCCCGCGGCGGCCGAGGUCCGCGCUCUGCAAGGACGCUGGCGUAAUGGUCAUCAGCGACCCGUCUUGAAACACGGACC
rnacentral:rRNA from 1 species